AUAUAUCACUACUACUACAAAAUUAAUUUUGUAAAUAAUCUGAUAAAUUUUUUUACGUGGUUUAGAAAAUUUCCUGAUAAACUUUUAAAUUAUUUUUAGUGUAAAAGGAGACAUCACUUAAAAAAUUAAAAAUUUCGAUAACAAGCUAACUUUAAAAAUUCAUCGACGAUUGUUCGGUAAUCGAAUCCAUAAAUGAUUUAUAUUCUCUCAAAGCUCAUUUCGAAAAUUAUAUCAUAGACACAUCGAAUGAUUUAAAUGAAUAUCGAAAAUAGUUAAACGUAUAUCAAACGUGUGUGUUUAAAAAUGCGUAUAACUUGUUUUUUCUUAAAAAAUCAGUUAUUUUCUUAAUGUUUAUUAUUUUCGCGAGAUAAUUUUCUCAAUA
rnacentral:lncRNA from 1 species